AAAAUACUUUGUUCCCUCCUCAUUCCAGCGGAUAGGACAAUAUCCCUUAUAAUUCCUAAAAUAGCAGGCUAGAGUAGGGAAUAAGGACAGGUUGUGUGGUGUGCACAGGUGCCAUCACUACCUCCAAGAUCUGAUUUCCUGAGCUGACCCUCGCUAUCUUAAUAGCCCUGGUUGAAUCUGUGUUUGAAUCCAUCACACAGAUAAUAGGAGUCUCCUUCUCUUGAGGUUUUCAAGCAGAGGCUGGAUGGAUACCUGAUGGGGGUGGGCUUUGAUUCUGUGUUGCUGGAUGGCAGGGGGUUGGACUGGGGGUCUCUUCCAACUAUAUGAUUCUACGAUUCUAGGGUAAAAUCUGUUACUGUAUUUGAAGACAGUAGACUAUCUUUGGAAUCAAAGCAAUUUGUAUAGUACACAUAGUUCUGUCUUCCAACAAAGGAGUUAUGCCAGAGGGCAUUGAAACUGCUAUACCAAACAUACCAGUAUCAGCCACCCGAGAUGGCUGUCACACCCUAACUAAUAGCAGGGCCAGCCCUGGACACCAGAAAUGUCAAAAAAAAGGUAAUUUGUGCAGCAAGGUACUAACUUUCAAAAAAGUUAGUACCUUACUGCAGUGAAGUGGAAAUGCUGGUUUCAAAUUAUGGUGCGAUUAACUGGAAAUGCUGAGAGGCCCUGGGCUUUUACUAGGUGGGAGGUUUUGCAUUCCACAUAGUCUGGGUUUGACAUCUUUGAGCGUCAAGCUAGAUUAAUCCAGGCAGAAGACACCUGAGUGCUUGGAGGCAGGAAUGUGCUUCGUCAUGAUGAGGUAAUCCUUCCACAACAUCACAGUUUUCUCAGGAAUGCAGCAGCUCUUGGGAGCUCGCUGUUGAAUCGAUAUUAUUUGUUGAUGUUCUAUGGGUUGAUAGACUAUCUGGAUGCAUUCCAUCUAUAAAUGUGUUUCCUUUGUACCUUUCAAAUGCUUAUUUGGUUACUGAUUCACAUUCAGAGGCAUUGCAAUCCAUCCCAUCAUUAGCUUGGAAAUAAUUGGCCAAUGGUGGAAAGGUCUCAUUCACUUUCUGUCUCACUUUGGAAGGAUGUGUUUAAUUCUAAAAUUAGAUUUCUCAACAGUAAAUCCAAUGGGAUAGCAAGAUGCAGAAAGUAGAUAAUCCUUGAAAAAGAAAGCAACUUGCAAAAUCAGAUCACAAUGGUGGAUGGCAGUAAAGGUGGAGGAACAGAAUUUGCUGUAUUUUAAGUAUAAACUAAUUAAUCUGCUAAAGUACAGAACUAAAACACUGUGGGCAGCUUCUGAAGUGUGCAUGGGCUUGUUUGGAAACAUUUUGUCUUCAGCUAGAAUUAAACUUCCAUGAAGAACAUGUUAAAAGCUUAUCACUAGAGAAUAAAAUUUCAACAAGACCCCAAUGGAGAGACUCUUAUUAACUUCCAUAGAGGGAAAGUGAUUAGCAGACACUGCUAUCAAUUUUCUUUCACUUAUACUUUAUCCUUUGAAUUAAAUACUGGUAUGUUUAAUAUAACUUCAUCCUGUUGUACUAGUACAAUGAUGGGGAGAUGAGGAAAUCACAGCAAGGUUUCCAACUCAACUUUAAAAAGGAAAAAUUACACUAUUGCACUCUUCUAUAGCCUGUCAUAUGUUUUAGACCAGGGGUCCCCAAACUUUUUAAACAGGGGGCCUGUUCACUGUCCCUCAGACCAUUGGAUGGCCGG
ensembl:lncRNA